rnacentral:tRNA from 1 species
GGGUUGUGGCUCAGCGGUAGAGCGCUCGCCUUGAACGUGCGGGACCUGGGUUCGAUCCUUAGCUCCA